rnacentral:ncRNA from 1 species
ACCACAUGUAGAUGUCACGGUCCUGCUAGACCUCAAAAUCUAGUGGGCUAAGAGGGAAGCCGGUGAACCGCACGUUUCGCGGAAAUCCGGCGCUGCCCCCGCAACUGUCAGCAGCGAGCUGCUUCGCCAUUACGUCACUGGCCUCGGCCGGGAAGACAAGAAGCCGCUACGACCUGCAAGCCAGGAGACCUGCCGCGACACCGAAAAAACGU